rnacentral:rRNA from 1 species
GACGAACGCUGGCGGCGUGCCUAAUACAUGCAAGUCGAGCGAACAGAUGAGAAGCUUGCUUCUCUGAUGUUAGCGGCGGACGGGUGAGUAACACGUGGGUAACCUACCUAUAAGACUGGGAUAACUCCGGGAAACCGGGGCUAAUACCGGAUAAUAUUUUGAACCGCAUGGUUCAAUAGUGAAAGACGGUUUCGGCUGUCACUUAUGGAUGGACCCGGGCCGUAUUAGAUAGUUGGUAAGGUAACGGCUUACCAAGGCGACGAUACGUAGCCGACCUGAGAGGGUGAUCGGCCACACUGGAACUGAGACACGGUCCAGACUCCUACGGGAGGCAGCAGUAGGGAAUCUUCCGCAAUGGGCGAAAGCCUGACGGAGCAACGCCGCGUGAGUGAUGAAGGUCUUCGGAUCGUAAAACUCUGUUGUUAGGGAAGAACAAAUUUGUUAGUAACUGAACAAGUCUUGACGGUACCUAACCAGAAAGCCACGGCUAACUACGUGCCAGCCGCCGCUGUAA